rnacentral:rRNA from 1 species
UACGAGUGCCCCAAGCGUUAUCCGGAAUUAUUGGGCGUAAAGGGUGUGUAGGUGGUUGUGUUAGUCUCAUGUCAAAUUCUUCGGCUUAACCGGGGUACCGCAUGGGAAACGGCACAACUAGAGGAUGCGAGGGGUGAGUGGAACUCAUGGAGUAGGGGUGAAAUCCGUUGAUAUCAUGGGGAACACCGAAAGCGAAGGCAGCUCACUGGCGCACUCCUGACACUGAAACACGAAAGCGUGGGUAGCGAAUGGG